rnacentral:rRNA from 1 species
UACGUAGGGUGCGAGCGUUAAUCGGAAUUACUGGGCGUAAAGCGUGCGCAGGCGGUUUUGUAAGACAGGCGUGAAAUCCCCGGGCUUAACCUGGGAACUGCGUUUGUGACUGCAAGGCUAGAGUACGGCAGAGGGGGGUGGAAUUCCGCGUGUAGCAGUGAAAUGCGUAGAGAUGCGGAGGAACACCGAUGGCGAAGGCAGCCCCCUGGGCCAACACUGACGCUCAGGCACGAAAGCGUGGGGAGCAAACAGG